GACGAACGCUGGCGGCGUGCCUAAUACAUGCAAGUCGAACGAACUCUGGUAUUGAUUGGUGCUUGCAUCAUGAUUUACAUUUGAGUGAGUGGCGAACUGGUGAGUAACACGUGGGAAACCUGCCCAGAAGCGGGGGAUAACACCUGGAAACAGAUGCUAAUACCGCAUAACAACUUGGACCGCAUGGUCCGAGCUUGAAAGAUGGUUUCGGCUAUCACUUUUGGAUGGUCCCACGGCGUAUUAGCUAGAUGGUGGGGUAAUGGCUCACCAUGGCAAUGAUACGUAGCCGACCUGAGAGGGUAAUCGGCCACAUUGGGACUGAGACACGGCCCAAACUCCUACGGGAGGCAGCAGUAGGGAAUCUUCCACAAUGGACGAAAGUCUGAUGGAGCAACGCCGCGUGAGGGAAGAAGGGUUUCGGCUCGUAAAACUCUGUUGUUAAAGAAGAACAUAUCUGAGAGUAACUGUUCAGGUAUUGACGGUAUUUAACCAGAAAGCCACGGCUAACUACGUGCCAGCCGCCGCGGUAA
rnacentral:rRNA from 1 species